rnacentral:rRNA from 1 species
GUCCACGCCGUAAACGAUGUGUGCUAGAUGUCGGGCAGCAUGCUGCUCGGUGUCGCAGCUAACGCAUUAAGCACACCGCCUGGGGAGUACGGCCGCAAGGCUAAAACUCAAAGGAAUUGACGGGGGCCCGCACAAGCGGUGGAGCAUGUGGUUUAAUUCGAUGCAACGCGAAGAACCUUACCAGCUCUUGACAUCCCGAUCGCGGAUUCCAGAAAUGGAUUCCUUCAGUUCGGCUGGAUCGGU